UAGCCGUAAACGAUACUCACUAGGUGUCGGCCACGGUGCGACCGUUGUCGGUGCCGUAGGGAAGCCGUGAAGCGAGCCACCUGGGAAGUACGGCCGCAAGGCUGAAACUUAAAGGAAUUGGCGGGGGAGCACAACAACGGGUGGAGCUUGCGGUUUAAUUGGAUUCAACGCCGGAAAUCUUACCGGGACCGACAGCAACAUGAAGGCCAAGCUGAAGACUUUGCCGGAUUAGCUGAGAGGUGGUGCAUGGCGUAGACGUCU
rnacentral:rRNA from 1 species